rnacentral:piRNA from 1 species
UCACAGUAUUUUGUUAUCAAAUGGCGG